GACGAACGCUGGCGGCGUGCUUAACACAUGCAAGUCGAACGGAAAGGCCCUGCUUUUGUGGGGUGCUCGAGUGGCGAACGGGUGAGUAACACGUGAGUAACCUGCCCUUGACUUUGGGAUAACUUCAGGAAACUGGGGCUAAUACCGGAUAGGAGCUCCUGCUGCAUGGUGGGGGUUGGAAAGUUUCGGCGGUUGGGGAUGGACUGGCGGCUUAUCAGCUUGUUGGUGGGGUAGUGGCUUACCAAGGCUUUGACGGGUAGCCGGCCUGAGAGGGUGACCGGCCACAUUGGGACGGAGCUACGGCGCAGACUCCUACGGGAGGCAGCAGUGGGGAAUAUGGCACAAUGGGCGGAAGCCUGAUGCAGCAACGCCGCGUGCGGGAUGACGGCCUUCGGGUUGUAAACCGCUUUCGCCUGUGACGAAGCGUGAGCGACGGUAAUGGGUAAAGAAGCACCGGCUAACUAC
rnacentral:rRNA from 1 species